UACAGAGGAGCCAAGCGUUGUCCGGAUUGACUGGGCGUAAAGCGCACGCAGGCGGUUGCGCGCGUGGGGUGUGAAAUCUGGCCGCUUAACGGCCAGGCGCCAUCCCAUACGGCGCGACUGGAGUGAUGCAGAGGUCGAUGGAAUUGCCGGUGUAGUGGUGAAAUGCGUAGAUAUCGACGGAGGAACACCCUGGGUACGGUGA
rnacentral:rRNA from 1 species